GAUGAACGCUGGCGGCGUGCCUAAUACAUGCAAGUCGAGCGAACGGACGAGAAGCUUGCUUCUCUGAUGUUAGCGGCGGACGGGCGAGUAACACGUGGAUAACCUACCUAUAAGACUGGGAUAACUUCGAGAAACCGGAGCUAAUACCGGAUGAUAUUUUGAACCGCAUGGUUCAAAAGUGAAAGACGGUCUUGCUGUCACUUAUAGAUGGAUCCGCGCUUCAUUAGCUAGUUGGUAAGGUAACGGCUUACCAAGGCAACGAUGCAUAGCCGACCUGAGAGGGUGAUCGGCCCCACUGGAACUGAGACACGGUCCAGACUCCUACGGGAGGCAGCAGUAGGGAAUCUUCCGCUAUUGGCGAAAGCCUGACGUAGCAACGCCGCGUGAGUGAUGAAGGUCUUCCGAUCGUAAAACUCUGUUAUUAGGGAAGAACAUAUGUGUAAGUAACUGUGCACAUCUUGACGGUACCUAAUCAGAAAGCCCCGGCUAACUACGUG
rnacentral:rRNA from 1 species